rnacentral:rRNA from 1 species
AGCAACGCCGCGUGAGGGACGACGGCCUUCGGGUUGUAAACCUUUUAGCAGGGAAGAAGCGAAAGUGACGGUACCUGCAGAAAAAGCACCGGCUAACUACGCCAGCAGCCGCGGUAAUACGUAGGGUGCAAGCGUUAUCCGUAAUUAUUGGGCGUAAAGCUCGUAGGCGGUUUGUCGCGUAUGCUGUGAAAACCCGAGGCUCAACCUCGGGCCUGCUGGGUACGGGCAGAUUAGAGUGCGGUAGGGGAGAUUGGAAUUCCUGGUGUAGCGGUGGUGCGCAGAUAUCAGGAGGAACACCGAUGGCGAAGGCAGAUCUCUGGGCCGUAACUGACUGAGGAGCGAAAGGGUGGGGAGCAAACAGGCUUAGAUACCCUGGUAGUCCACCCCGUACGUUGGGAACUAGUUGUGGGGUCCAUUCCACGGAUUCCGUGACGCAGCUAACGCAUAA